rnacentral:rRNA from 1 species
AGAGUUUGAUCCUGGCUCAGGAUGAACGCUGGCGGCAUGCCUAAUACAUGCAAGUCGAACGAGAGGAAGGAAAGCUUGCUUUUCUGAAUCUAGUGGCGAACGGGUGAGUAACACGUAGGUAACCUGCCCAUGUGCCCGGGAUAACUUCUGGAAACGGAUGCUAAAACCGGAUAGGUAGCAGACAAGCAUUUAACUGCUAUUAAAGUGGCUUUGGCCAUGAACAUGGAUGGACCUGCGGUGCAUUAGCUAGUUGGUGAGGUAACAGCCUACCAAGGCGACGAUGCAUAGCCGGCCUGAGAGGGCGGACGGCCACAUUGGGACUGAGACACGGCCCAAACUCCUACGGGAGGCAGCAGUAGGGAAUUUUCGUCAAUGGGGGGAACCCUGAACGAGCAAUGCCGCGUGAGUGAGGAAGGUCUUCGGAUCGUAAAGCUCUGUUGUAAGAGAAAAACGGCACUCAUAGGGAAUGAUGAGUGAGUGAUGGUAUCUUACCAGAAAGUCACGGCUAACUACGUGCCAGCAGCCGCGGUAAUACGUAGGUGGCGAGCGUUAUCCGGAAUGAUUGGGCGUAAAGGGUGCGUAGGUGGCAGAUCAAGUCUGGAGUAAAAGGUAUGGGCUCAACCCGUACUGGCUCUGGAAACUGAUCAGCUAGAGAACAGAAGAGGACGGCGGAACUCCAUGUGUAGCGGUAAAAUGCGUAGAUAUAUGGAAGAACACCGGUGGCGAAGGCGGCCGUCUGGUCUGGAUACUGACACUGAAGCACGAAAGCGUGGGGAGCAAAUAGGAUUAGAUACCCUAGUAGUCCACGCCGUAAACGAUGAGAACUAGGUGUUGGGGGAAUAACUCAGUGCCGCAGUUAACGCAGUAAGUUCUCCGCCUGGGGAGUAUGCACGCAAGUGUGAAACUCAAAGGAAUUGACGGGGGCCCGCACAAGCGGAGGAACAUGUGGUUUAAUUCGAUGAUACGCGAGGAACCUUACCCGGGCUCAAACGACAGCGGACAGCGCCUGAAAGGGCGUCUCCGGCAACGGCCGCUGUCGAGGUGCUGCAUGGUUGUCGUCAGCUCGUGCCGUGAGGUGUCGGCUUAAGUGCCAUAACGAGCGCAACCCCUCUCCUUAGUUGCCAUCAGGUUAAGCUGGGCACUCUGGGGACACUGCCACCGUAAGGUGUGAGGAAGGUGGGGAUGACGUCAAAUCAGCACGGCCCUUACGUCCGGGGCUACACACGUGUUACAAUGGCAGGUACAGAGAGACGGUCCCUUGCAAAACGGAUCAAAUCCUUAAAGCCUGUCUCAGUUCGGACUGGGGUCUGCAACCCGACCCCACGAAGCUGGAUUCGCUAGUAAUCGAGCAUCAGCCAUGGCGCGGUGAAUACGUUCCCGGGC